CCUACGGGAUGCAGCAGUGAGGAAUAUUGGUCAAUGGCCGCAGGGCUGAACCAGCCAAGUCGCGUGAGGGAUGACGGUCCUAUGGAUUGUAAACCUCUUUUGUCAGGGAGCAAAGGGCGCCACGUGUGGCGCUUUGCGAGUACCUGAAGAAAAAGCAUCGGCUAACUCCGUGCCAGCAGCCGCGGUAAUACGUAGGAUGCGAGCGUUAUCCGGAUUUAUUGGGUUUAAAGGGUGCGCAGGCGGAAUGUCAAGUCAGCGGUAAAAUUUCGGGGCUCAACCCCGUCGUGCCGUUGAAACUGGCGUUCUUGAGUGAGCGAGAAGUAUGCGGAAUGCGUGGUGUAGCGGUGAAAUGCAUAGAUAUCACGCAGAACUCCGAUUGCGAAGGCAGCAUACCGGCGCUCAACUGACGCUCAUGCACGAAAGCGUGGGUAUCGAACAGGAUUAGAUACCCCUGUAGUC
rnacentral:rRNA from 1 species